rnacentral:rRNA from 1 species
UACGUAGGAGGCGAGCGUUGUCCGGAGUUACUGGGCGUAAAGGGUGCGCAGGCGGCCGCGCGCGUAGGGGGUGAAAUCUCCUGGCUCAACUGGGAGGGGGCUUCCUAGACGGCGCGGCUUGAGGCUCGGCGGGGGGCGCGGAAUUCCGGGUGGAGCGGUGAAAUGCGUAGAGAUCCGGAGGAACACCGAAGGCGAAGGCAGUCUCCUGGCAAGUUACUGACGCUCAGGUGCGAAAGCUAGGGGAGCGAACAGG